ensembl:lncRNA
AUCGAAUUUAAACUUAUUAAAUGGCAGAAAUCCAGAAAAGUGAGUAGAAAACCUCUCAAUGGAGCACAAAAUACAAAAUAAAGGCAAACUCCAGAAGAGAGAGCUGGAACAAACAUAAUAAAACAUUGUUAAAUUGUCAGUUUUUCAUUGUAGAGGUUAGUGCAGAAGCCGGAGACAUGACAUAAAUGAACAUCCGCUCAGAUCACACUAGAAAAAUGAUUUUAAAUAAGCUUCAUUGGGAUGUUUAGAUCAAAAUCUGACUCUGACAUGACUUACACCUUUAAAAAUGGUGAUUUUUAAUGUUUUCUUCAGCAUAUUAAGUCAUAGGAUAGAAACAUGAAGAUGUUAUACAUACAUACUGGGACCCAGUAAAACACAGACAACGUUUAUUAAUGUGGAAUUAAUAAAUGGUUGUGUACAGUAGACUAUAUGAAUUGUUUUAUUUUAUGCAGCAGGACAUAACAUUAUCAGUCAAAUAGCAGGUCUAAAGAACUUUUGCUAUUAACCUUUCCUCCAUUUCUUCUCUCUCAGCUCCUGUCACGAGUGAUGAAGACUCCCGCGCCUUUGGAUGUUUUUGGAUUUCUAGCAGAAGAAAGCUGGAGAUCCGUGCAUCCUCUUUAGACCAAGUGUCUGUGUGAAGUCAGAAAACAUCAGUGGGAUCGUGAUGAAGGUCUUCUUCAAGACCUCACUGAAGUGGACGGAUCGGGGAGAGCGUGCUUUCAUGACAAUGUCGUCGGCGGGACUUUUCCGUGUGAGCAGACAUCUUUCUUCACAACUUUCAGAAGCAUCUGAAUUCAGACCGACCGGUCAGUCCAUCGUCAUCAGAAACCCAAACUCUCCAGGUUAGUCUCAAACAGCUUGAACACGCAAACACACGGACGCUCGAGUCCUGACAGUUAUGCUGAAGUGCCAGAAAACCACUCUGGUCUGGAGCCCCUCCUCACACACGUGUGUGUGUGUGUGUGUGUGUGUGUGUGUGUGUGUGUGUGUGUGUGUU